rnacentral:rRNA from 1 species
AUUCCAGCUCCAAUAGCGUAUAUUAAAGUUGUUGCAGUUAAAACGCUCGUAGUCGGAUUUCGGGGCCUGCCUGCCGGUCUGCCGAUGGGUAUGCACUGGCAGGCGCGUCCUUCCUUCCGGAGACUGUCCCUACUCUUAACUGAGCGGGGUCGGGAGACGGAUCGUUUACUUUGAAAAAAUCAGAGUGUUUCAAGCAGGCAGCUCGCUCUUGCAUGGAUUAGCAUGGGAUAAUGAAAUAGGACUUUGGUGCUAUUUUGUUGGUUUCGAACACCGAAGUAAUGAUUAACAGGGACAGUUGGGGGUAUUCAUAUUUACAUGUCAGAGGUGAAAUUCUUGGAUUUUGGAAAGAUGAACGACUGCGAAGGCAUUUACCAAGGAUGUUUUCAUUA